UUGAAAUACCAAUCCCUAUACGAUCACCGAGGUUAAGCAACGUCGAGCGUUUUCAGUACCUAGAUGGGUGACCGCUUGGGAAUACCUGGUGUAGUAAG